UGGUGCAAAAUCAUGCAACACACAACCCAGGCUUAGCACGAUGGGUCCAGGAAAAGAGUAAACACUUGGGAGAACAAACUUCAUACAGGUGGGCACAACAAAGAGGAAUCCUUGUCACCCAUGAUGAUAUUGCCACUGCAGUACAACAAUGUCAAUUAUGCCAACAGCUAAAUAAACAGGGAGUUCCACACCCCCACCAAGGUCGUAUUCAAAAGGGAUUAUUUCCCGCCCAUAUCUGACAAAUAGAUUUUAUUGGACCAUUGCCAAAUUCUUGUGGCUAUGUUUAUGCCUGCACUGCUGUUGAUACAUAUUCUGGUUAUUUAUUAGCUAUGCCGGCUAAAGCAGCGACCCAACAGAGUGCCAUAAAAUUCUAUGAAACAACAAGACAAAUUCAGAGAGACAACAGUUCCCACUUUACAGGUAGAUAUUCCUGCUGUGCUCGCUAUGCUAUGCUACAACUCCAUGUCUGCUGCAGACCUACACCCCAACUAAUGUCUCCAUAGGACAACCUUUUGACCCUGCACUGUUGGACCAACUGCUCUACACCAGUGGGACCUGUAACCUGGACUAUGAAUGGCCGAGAAGUUUGGUCUCAGAAACAUCAAGCAACUUCUCAGUAUAAGACUAUAUCUGAUCAAUCACACAAAACUAGUUAUAAUUUCUCUACUACCCUGCCUUCUGCUACCCUCCGUGAUGGGGGCUGGUCUGAACUUCUACAAGCUAAUUUGUUAGGCCUAGGUGUUACUGUAUCUAAUGUUAUCUUUGAUGCUGUACAUGAUUUGCAAGAUCAAGUUAAUAACAUUUCGUAUCCUAGGGGAUUGUUUAUUGGUUACCUUGGAGUUUAGGUCCUUUAUUGGGAGAUAGUUUUAUAAUUAUUGUAGUCAUUGGAUUUUGGAUUCUUGGAUGUGCCUUGUGUACUUGUGUACGAAGUUCAUUGUCUGUGCAUAUGGUGUCUUAUGGUUAAUGGAGACGGCCACGGCAGAAAAUGUCUUGACAUGAGUACAGCCAUGUUUGGCCGCUCCAUUGACCUACAGCCACCAGCACACAAAGAAAUAUAAAGCUGCUUUCUGUGUGUGGGAACUGGCCUUUUUCCCAGGAACUGGCCUUUCUCCCACGGAGAUAGUUGCAAUUUGUAAGAAUUUCAAGGUCCUUUGGGUGUCAUGGCCUGGGGCAGACUGGCCAUCUAUGCUGGGCUGGGGCGAUAACCAGAGAGAACAAUGCACGUACACAACUGCCGGGCUGGGACAAUAGCCAGGAGGCUCAGUGCACAUAUGCCACUGAUAGCCAUUUGUGCAUGAAAACGCUAAAUGCUUGCUCUGUAAACUCUGUAACUGCUUAUAUAAACUGCUGGAAACCGAGGCCUGGUGAGAGUUCCACCUGUGGAAGGGACACCUUGCCCAGGACAUGUGAUCCUCACCCAGCUGUAUCGACUAAAAGGACUCUCCUGGCAGUGGAGCGUGAAUGUUGUGAGUAAUUGAUUUGUUGUGAAGUAAUUGAUUUGUUGUGAAUAAUUGAUCUGAUGUGUUCUCUUUUUGGUCAACCUGGUGUUUCUCUUUCCUGUUGAUUUGUGUCAUGUCCCUUCAGUCAAUGUGUAUGUUUUCCCUUUCCAGUCGAUCUGAUGUUUUUUCCUCUCAUUGUAUAAUCUAUUCAAACCUGCUGCUAUCUCAGUCGACGUGAAUGUUUUCCCUUUCUAGUGGAGCUGAUGUUUUUCCCUCUUAAUAUUUGACCUAUUCGGAUCUGUUUGUGGACUAUCACCUUUACUCUCCUCUAUACAAUAAAAUAUACCUUCAGUCCAUUUA